AAUAUUCUCAUCCUAGCCUUCCAAUAUGAGUAAUCGGAUCCAUUAAAGAAUGGGGGUCUUUGGGUGGACUGACCCUCAAUGUGAGAAGAUCCAAAUGGAGUUGUCAUUUCGAUCUUUUACUCUUGGGUGGAAGAGUUUAGGCUCUGAUACCACUUGUUGCCCAGAUAGACAACCCAAGAGGGGGGGUGAAUUGGGUUAUUUAAAACGUUUUAAAAUAAUUUAGCUAUUUAAAACGUUGUGAAGGACUAAUUAAAACUAUUGCAAGUUGUUUAAUUAAUUGCUAUGUGCUGUGAGUGAUAUGAGAGGAAGAAGAAGAGAGACAAUCAAUCACAAACACCAAGUUUUAUAGUGGUUUGGAGCUAACCCUUGCUCCUAUGUCCACUCCCCAAGUCUCACUUGGGAAUUCACUAUAACCCCUUGGAUUACAGCCGGUUGUUUUCCAAGCUCACAACCAAACUUGUUGUUUUACGAGCUCACAACGAACUCGGUCGGUUUUCCCAGGCUCACCGACUAGAACCAACCCCGAUUGUUUUCUCGGG
rnacentral:lncRNA from 1 species